rnacentral:tRNA from 3 species
GCCGGAGUACCCGAGUGGUCAAAGGGGGCGCACUCAAGAUGCGCUGCGAAAUGCUUCGUAGGUUCAAAUCCUACCUCCGGCACCA